UUCCUCAGAACCAUCCCACGGGAUUGGAUCCCUGCCAGAAAAUCCGGGGUGGAAAUCAGGCAGGGGAGAGGAAGGUGCCCAAAUUCUGCUUCCUCCUGCCCCAUCCCUGAGUUCGUGCCUGGGAAAUGGGAGUUUUCCGUGGUUUUCAUGGAAUUAUGGAACGGUUUGGGUUGGAAGGACCUUAAAGAGAUGCAGUUCCCGGGUAGGGACAUUUUCCCGCUGUCCCAGGUGGCUCCAACCUGGCCUUGGACGCUUCCAGGGAUGGGGAAUCCAUGGAAUAACCUGAGCCAGGGCCUCCCCUCCCUCCCACGGGAAGGAUUUAUCCCUAAUUGCUGACCUAAACCUCUGGAACGUGUCGCUCCUGCUCUGUGACCACAGGGUGGACCCGAUGAUCUCCAGGUCUUUUCCAACCUAAAUAAUUCCCUGAUCCCUGCCACAGCGAUCCCGGAGCAUCCCACAUCCCUUGGCAGAUGGAUAUCGCUCCGCAGGGCUCGCAAUUAACACCCACCGCGGACAGGGGUAAUUAGAGGGCUCCGGAACGAGCCGACAACCCCCGAUUUGCAGCUAAAUGAGAUAAAAAUCAGCGACAAAUCGGGCCUGGAGCCUCGGGGCGCUGCAGGAACGGGAUAAAAGCGCUCGCAGCUCAGGGCUGUUUAUCCGCUUCUCCCAACUUUCCCUCUCCGCUGGAAUCAGUGUGAAGCUUUGCUGUCGAGCUCUUUGCUGCUACAAACGCUCCACUGAGAGCUUUGAAAAUGCUGAAUCUGGGGGGGUAAACUGAGAUUUAGGGCCCUCCAAGGCUUUUAAACACUUUGCACUGAGCACAGGGCGGGUUUAAACUCUCUCCGGCGCUUAAACAGCCUCACUUUGAAUUUUAGGAUGGUUAUUUUGCAACUCUUCGCUGUGAGCUGCGCCCCAAUUUGAAGGUGAUGGGCGUCCUGAUUUCCCCGCUGUGUUUUAGGCUCGGACCUGACCUAAACCCUCUCGCGGGCUUUGCAGAGCCGUGUCUCACUGCGGGGACCUGUGCCAGCCCCUGACCAACGCCUGCAGCGAGCUCUGCGCGACUCCAAGGCCGUCAUUUACCCCCCGCCCGUCGUCCUGACCUUCCCGGGGCCGGUCCUCAGCUCCUGCCCCCAGGAAAGCGUCGUGGGAAGCUGCAGCCCCCUCGCCCUCGGCCGCUCCGUGGGCUCCGGGGGUUCUUUGGGGUACCGGGGUUAUGGGAAUGCUGUCGGCUUGAGGGGCUCCAUCCUCUUCGGAGGCUCCUCCAAUGCCUACGGGGGUGCCUGGAAUUCCAGCCGGUCCUCCAAUUGCGGGUGUUCCUCGCUGGGAAGGGGGAAUUGCGGCCCUUUCCUGCACCGCCAGUACAGCUCCUGCAGCCGAGGGAGUUGUGGCUCCUGGUGAAAACUUCCCGGGGAUUCAGUUCCAGGGAUGUGAGGCUUGAAUUGUGGGGCUGCGCUAAGGAAAGCAGGAAUUCUUGUAGGGAUUUGGGGUAUUAAAGGUCCUGAGGUGUCUGUGUUAAUUCUCUGUUGUUGUGUCUUGGCUCUGCUUCUCGUGCAAAUUAAAAACCAUUUAUUGCACCA